GAUGAACGCUGGCGGCGUGCCUAAUACAUGCAAGUCGAGCGAACGGACGAGAAGCUUGCUUCUCUGAUGUUAGCGGCGGACGGGUGAGUAACACGUGGAUAACCUACCUAUAAGACUGGGAUAACUUCGGGAAACCGGAGCUAAUACCGGAUGAUAUUUUGAACCGCAUGGUUCAAAAGUGAAAGACGGUCUUGCUGUCACUUAUAGAUGGAUCCGCGCUGCAUUAGCUAGUUGGUAAGGUAACGGCUUACCAAGGCAACGAUGCAUAGCCGACCUGAGAGGGGAACCAGCCAGCCUGAGACUGAGAUACGGCCCAGGCUCCGACGGGAGGCAGCGUUGGGGAGUUUUGGAGAAUGGGCGACAGCCUGAUCAAGCAAUGCAGCGUGUGUGAAGAAGUGCUUCGGGUUGUAGACCACUUUUGUCCGGAAAGAAAACCAGGGCCCUAAUAAGGUCGGGGGAAGAAGGUACCGGAAGAAUAAGCCACGGCUAAACACGAG
rnacentral:rRNA from 1 species